CGGGUAAACAAAACAAUCGCUAUUAUAUAUAUAUAAUAGAGGAAAGUCCGGACUCCGUAAGACAAGCUGCCUUCUAACAGAAGGACGAAGUAAUUCGAUGGAAAGUGCAACAGAAAAUAACCGCCUAAAUGUUUCAUUUAGGUAAGGGUGAAAAAGUGAGGUAAGAGCUCACUCAUUAUAUUAGAAAUAAUAUAAUUGGUGUAAACCCCAGCUGGAGCAAGACCAAAUAAAGGAUAAGAAGGUGUCUUCUUCGUUAUUAAUCCUGGGUAGGUCGCGUGAGCUUUUUAUUAAGCCAAUAGAUAGAUGAUUGUAUAAACAGAAUCCGGCUUAUUGUUUACCACUUCC
rnacentral:RNase_P_RNA from 1 species